CACAUAACAAUCGAAAGAAUCACAUUCCCAAACUGACAAUUCAGACACAGAACAAAAGUCUGAUGGAACACAUUCAAAGACCCAUGUUACAUAUAAAUUACAUAUAAUAAUUUUCUACAAACCCAAAGUCAUUAUGUGAUGUAACUACUACCAGCAUUUAUAUAUAAAAAAAAUAAUAUGUGCAAGGAGAAAAAAACAGUAUGCAGACUUUAUUUUCUUUGGAGGAAACUACUCAAAUUAAACUUGGUUUUCAUUUUGUAAUGCUUUUGGGUAACCAUAUGCAUAUUCAUUAUCAAGCAUCAUUACAGGAUUAUAAUAGCUCCACCUUUUCUAUUUACAAAAUAACAGAUAUCUCAUUUACAGAUUACUCAUUUGUUAAUUUAUUUGUCUAUACAAUAAAAAUGAUUCAAAGCUGGAAUAGGCAACUACAUAAAAAGGCUUACAAAGCCAUUUUAAUUGGCACCACAUAAUUUCACAAAAUGACAUAAUUUUCCCAUAUCAUAGCACUGUUAAUAUUAUUGGUUCAUUAAUCAUUCAUAUUUUUUCUUAAAUCAUCUGUAAAAUAAAUAAAUAUAUGUAUAUUUCUUGCAGUUGCAAAAGUUGUCCUCUAGGCAAUGGCAGAGCGAAAACAUGAGAAGUGGAGCAUCACAUUGAAAGCAGGAAGUUCCAGCGUGUUUAUGUGUGAAACUGCAGAGACUCACAGUAACACAGAGCUACAGCUCAGAGCACGGAGAACAUUAAUACACAAUUCAUAUGACCGAGUAAACAUGGAAAAACACCUGUUUCUGAUUUUAUUUCUGAUUUCAGGUGUGAUGACUGCAGACAAGAUUGGGCCAAAAGAAGAAACUCUUAUAAAGAAGGAAGGCGAGACUGUGACCCUCAGCUGCUCAUAUGAUACAGACAGCAGUUAUGUUAGACUUUACUGGUACAGACAGUAUCUUAAUGGAGAGCCUCAGUAUUUACUAUAUAAGGCGGCACGAUCUAGUAGUGGUACUGGGAACCCCUCUGAUCGCCGCUUUCAGUCGACUACAUCUCAAACAUCCACUGAACUCAAGAUUAAUGGAGUGACUCUGUCAGAUUCAGCUCUCUAUUAUUGUGCUCUAAGAGUAGGAGAGCAGCCCAGUGAUACAAAGUCUAUGUGA